CCUGAAGUGAAAUAAUAUGCAAAUGCAACCACAUUCAGACAUACAUAUUCACAUCGUCUCCCUGAACCCUAUAAAAAUGGCGGCAUACUAUGUAGACUGUUCUGGACUUGGCUUUAUCAGUUAAACACAGGGGAUGGCAGACUGUCCCACUAGCCAAAUCCAGCCUGCCACCUGUUUCUGUACAUAGUUUUACUGGAACCUGCAUUCCCUCAUUUACAAGUUAUCUGACUGCUUUCAUGCUACAGAACUGACUAGUCACAACAGUGGCUGUGACUGGCAAAGCCUAAAGUCUUUACUGCCUGCUCCUUUAUAGAGCAGGUUUGCUUGUCUCCAAAUUAAAGGAUAUGUGUGGCCUUUCCACAUUAGUAAUGAAAGCUUCUGCACUCUGGGAGCAUAUUCUUUCCACAAUUAGGGCCUCUUAAUGCAUAUCUGGGUUGGACCUUUGUACUUACCCCAUUUUCUGCAUGUGUGGGUGUAUUUAUAGGAUGAAGUCUUAGAAGUGGAAUUGCUCAGCAAAAGCCUACAUUGAUCAUUGUAUUGCUAUUGUCAAACUGCCCUCCAUGGAGGUUGGAAGAACUUACAUUCUCACCAGUGUUAUGAACCCCACCUUUGCCAGCAAGGUGCACAGCAGGUGUCUGGGUGAGCGGGAGGUGGAUCUGCUCAUUGUGGUCCGGGGAACCCAGGCUGACAGAGCUUCUGCAGCAAUGCACACUGCCUUCUGGAAGGGAGGAGGGUGCAGUGGAUCAUGCACUGGCUUCUAAAGCUGCCACCAGGAGAUGGCAAACAUCACUCCCACUGGCGUUUCACUGUUGAAAGACUGGUGUCCGUUGAAGAAGAGGAAGAGACACCUCUCUCCUCAUGCACCCAGGAAAGGUGUGUGAGAACAUAGAGAAGCUGAUGUCUGCAACCGGCCUGCACCUUGACCUUGGACUUGCAGCCUCCAGAACUGUGAGGGAACCCUUUGUGGUGUCUGUGGUAUUUUGUGCUGGCAGCCUGAGCUAAGAAGAUUCUUUGCCAUUGAACUCUCCAAAUGAAAUAGCAUCCCACAUGCAUUUAGUAUUCUCUCUUAAUUGGAAAACUUUUCUCUGGGCUUGCCUUAAAUUGACUUCUCUCAGGCUGUGUUUGUGUUCGCUCCUGAUCGCUUGUUUCCUGAGCCCCUCCUUUAACUGGGCUUCCACAAACCUGGAUAUCUUACAGCUAUUUCAAAUAGCCACGGAUGAAAUCAGUCAGUUCUACUGAUUUUCAUGUUGUCUGUUUUAUCAGUUUUUAUCUUUACUUUUAUUUCUCUCCCUGAGUUUAAGUUGCUGCUUAUUUUCUGGCUCCUUGGGUUGGAGACUUCCUUUACUUCCAGUCUUUCUUGGUUAAUGACAAAAGCUCUCAGAGCCAUGGGCAUUUGGCUACACCCCUAAGCUUUGCUACAUGGAGUCUCAAUUGUCAUUAUGUUCAGAAUGGCCUAUAAUUGCACUCCCCCCCUUUUUUAUUCGUG
ensembl:lncRNA